rnacentral:misc_RNA from 1 species
UCUCCGUUGAUGAACCAGCGGAGGGAUCAUUACCGAGUUUACAACUCCCAAACCCCUAUGUGAACGUUACCAAACUGUUGCCUCGGCGGGAAAUUCAUGCCCCGGGCGCGUCGCAGCCCCGGACCAAGGCGCCCGCCGGAGGACCAACCAAAACUCUUUUGUAUGUCCCUCGCGGACUUUUAUAAUUCUGAACCAUCUCGGCGCCCCUAGCGGGCGUUUCGAAAAUGAAUCAAAACUUUCAACAACGGAUCUCUUGGUUCUG